UGAAGGACACACACUCGCUGACAAGUGCUCUCUGUCUGUGGUCUGGAGCCAGGCUGCGUCUGCCGAGGGUCGCUGGAGCAGGUGGUUCUCCAGGUGUUCUCUCGGACAACCUUUAGUUUUUUUUGUUUUCCAGCUAAAGUGAAUGUUACCUUGACGGAGUUGGAAUUUAGGUCACAGCCACUGACAUUUUCAGCAAACAACAAGUGGUUCUCACAGUGAGGUCCCAGGACCGUCAGCAUCCCCUGGACCUGGUCAGAGCUGCAAAUUUGGAGCUCCACCCCAGACCUACUGAAUUAGAUGCUCUGUGUUUUAACCAGGAGCAGAAAUAGUUAAGGCCUGGAAUAGAGUCAAGAGGUACCGUUUCUAUAAAGAUCAGGCGCGGGGGUCCUUACCCCUCUCAAAAUAGAAACCAAGAGAGUGGGCAAAUCACCUUUGCAGAGGGAAAGGUUUAUCAAAGUGAACGCUUGAUGCACCAAGGGAGCAACUCCAGAGGAGCAUGGAUGUGGCUCCCCAAGGUUUACAGGAACUCUCUGGGCGGGAUGCCGGCUGGGUCCUCUUCCGCCUGGGGAAGAAGAGUUACAGCUUGCAGAUUUACGCACUAUUUGAGGCCCAUCUCUGGCGGAGGUCUUAGGCGUGUGCCAUACUUUUCCGUACCUGAUGAAAGAAGAGCCAGAGCCAGGGAACCCUUCCGCCCACCUCCUCCAGAAAAAUGUCCGCCAGCUUCCUGCAGGAGGCGGAGAAACUGAGACUCUGAAAGAUGAAUUCUUUGGCUCUGGGGUUUUAUUGCCUCUCGGUGGCAGAAACCAGGCAUCAGAACCCCAGGCAUCCAGCCCUGAUGCCAGCAGACACAAGAAGAGCAUACAGACAAUAGACCAAACACAAGACUGUACAAAUGGGCAAAGGAACAGAGCCUUAAAGGAACAGAAGGUAGAAAAAGGUACAUGAGGGGCCGGCCGAGUGGCUCAGUUGGUUAAGAGUUAGCUUAAAAGUGAGAGCUCUUAGCAACAGGAUCGCCGGU